CUUCCAGCCGGCGAGGUACUUGUACCUCGUCGACUGGAAGGGUGUCCUUCCAGUCGACGAGGUACUUGUACCUCGUCGACCGGAAGGGCUUCCUUCCAGCCGGCGAGGUACUUGUACCUCGUCGACUGGAAG
rnacentral:miRNA from 1 species